UACGAAGGGGGCUAGCGUUGCUCGGAAUCACGGGGCGUAAAGCGCACGUAGGCGGCUUUCUAAGUCAGGGGUGAAAUCCUGGAGCUCAACUCCAGAACUGCCUUUGAUACUGGAGAGCUUGAGUCCGGAAGAGGUGAGUGGAACUCCGAGUGUAGAGGUGAAAUUCGUAGAUAUUCGGAAGAACACCAGUGGCGAAGGCGGCUCACUGGUCCGGUACUGACGCUGAGGUGCGAAAGCGUGGGGAGCAAACAGG
rnacentral:rRNA from 1 species